ACGGAGGGUGCAAGCGUUAAUCGGAAUUACUGGGCGUAAAGCGCGCGUAGGCGGCUUGUUAAGUCGGAUGUGAAAUCCCUGGGCUCAACCUAGGACUUGCAUCCGAUACUGGCAAGCUAGAGUACGAUAGAGGGUGGUAGAAUUUCUUGUGUAGCGGUGAAAUGCGUAGAUAUAAGAAGGAAUACCAGUGGCGAAGGCGGCCACCUGGAUCGAUACUGACGCUGAGGUGCGAAAGCGUGGGGAGCAAACAGG
rnacentral:rRNA from 1 species